AUUGAACGCUGGCGGCAGGCCUAACACAUGCAAGUCGAGCGAGCGGCGGACGGGUGAGUACUGUAUGGGGACUGCCCGAUAGAGGGGGAUAACUACUGGAAACGGUAGCUAAUAACGCAUACUAUCGGAUAACCCAUAUGGGAUUUGAUAGUCGGUGAGGUAAUGGCUCACCUAGGCGACGAUCCCUAGCUGGUCUGAGAGGAUGAUCAGCCAAACUGGGACGGAGACAAGGCCCAGACGCCUACGGAGGCAGCAGUGGGGAAUAUUGCACAAUGGGCGCAAGCCUGAUGCAGCCAUGCCGCGUGUAUGAAGAAGGCCCUAGGGUUGUAAAGUACUUGCAGUCGGGAGGCGUGACCGACAGAAGAAGCACCGGCUAACUCCGUGCCAGCAGCCGCGGUAAAAC
rnacentral:rRNA from 1 species